UUCUCUCCAAGCUGUCGAGGAGAGAGGAUGCAUUUUUCUGCUCUUGCAGAGGCAAGAUGUCUUUCUGUAAUAUACCAGCUUUGAACUGUAAAUAAAGCAAUAUAGAGUAUGUAACACAUUUUCCUCAUCCUUCCGCUGGCCACGACAGACUCUGCUUUAAAUCAACACGUGGUUAUGGACUCCAGAGGUCGAAUCGGAGUGCCGGCAGAGGAUCGGAAUGCAGAGGGAGGACAGAUCGGAACGGAAUCUGCUCUGCGCGUAGAAGUGAUUGAUGAGGUAUGUGCUACUGCUCCGGGCAGCCUGCCAGCUUCAAGUUAAUGGCUUUAUGGCUGGACUUUGAACUUUUAAAGCCGGUUUUGCCGGAAAUAGGCAAAAGGCUCCCAGGCACAAGUCACUAUGCUGGGGAAAUCGAAAGUAACUUUUAAGUGUGCCUUUGUAAUGAAGCAGCUGCAGCAGUGACGCAGCAAGAUUUAAAGCAGCAUAUGACGCUGAAGGCUAAUGCCAGAGUCAUGAUGGCCCUUCAGGAUGCUUGUGGGAUUCCUAAGCUCAACAAGAAUAAUUACAGCGACUGGGUUCAGUAUGCAGAGGCAAUUCUGCGGAAAGAGGGUUUGUUUGAGGUGAUUACAGGAACCCCCAGUUCCAGUUACAGAUGCAUGGGAAGCUAAGGAUUCCAAAGCAAGGGAACUCUUACAUUGAUAGUAUCCCCAGAAGAGCUCUGUCUAUUGCGUGAUAAGACCUCAGCCAGAGAAAUUUGGGACGCUCUGAGAGAGGCUCACUUAAGGACAGAAGCUGGAUCCACUAUGUUUUAUUUUAACAAGCUGCAUAAUAUGGCUCUUGCUGAAGGUGGAGAUGUGCGUUUACAUCUGAUGGAGAUGCAAAAUCUGAGACAUGAGCUGCAACAGAGAGGACUCAACUUUCCAGAGGCUGUGUAUUCUUUCAUGAUACUACAAUCUUUGGGUUCAGGUUGGGAGUCUGUUGCAACCCAGAUUGCUGUGCAACCAACUGCUCAGCUGACAGUGGACUUUGUUACUGCCGUGAUUUUAAAUGAAGCAGAUCGCCGGGGUGCUAGCUGCAUGGGCAAGGAGAGUCUUCACAGACGUCAUCCCAUAGUGCAGUGGAACCACCAGAUGGCGCCAAAGCUUUGAAGGCAGUCAAAUGCUACUCGUGUGGACGUCUAGGCCAUAUGAAGAGGGAAUGCAGACAUCCCAGGGCCAAGACAGAGCAGCGCAGCGAAAGCUCAUCGCGCGGAAAAGGCCGAGGCAAAGGCAAAGGUCCGGUGUCUAGGACAACGCAGCACAAGGCUAUGGUUUCACGCUUCACUCCAAAGGUUGCAGAGGUCCAGAAGACGUCUAGAUCUUUCUUCGUUGUUGAUUCAGCGGCGACCCACCACAUGUGCAACGAUAAGAAACUGUUUGUGUCUUUUACACCGCAGGAAGGUGCGAUUCACCAGGCGGAUGACCACACUAUUCCCAGUAAAGGCUACGGAACUGUUGUUCUUCACAGUUUGGACUUAUCGAUACAGAAUGUGCUUUACGUGCCAGACGCCAAACAUAAUCUGCUCAGCGUUGGACAGCUGAAUGAGCGGAACAUUGACGUUUCCUUCAAGAACAAGAAGUGCAUCAUCACAAAGAAAAAUGAUUAUGUAUUGCAUGCAGAAUAUGUUGAUCAUUUGUUUGUUUUGUAUUAUGAUGAUGUGGUGCAGGAUGACACUUGUUGCAUUGCAGGUUCUAACAAAAGUUUGCAUGCAGAAUGUAUUCACGAUUUUCAUCGCAAAUUUGGUCAUUUGCAUUUUGAGGCAGUAUCUAAAAUGCCUGCCUUGGUUGAAGGUAUGACUAUUAAACCCUGCAGGUACCACAUGAAGUGCAAAGCAUGCGCAGCAAACAAGGUGAAAAUGGCUGCGAAAGGUAAGGUGUCUAGUAGGAAAGCUACAGAACCAUACCAGGUUGUUCAUGCUGAUUUGGUUGGACCACUAACGCCCUCUUUGGGUGGAAAUAGAUACUUCAUGGUUCUCAUUGAUGCAUUUUCUAGAUAUAUUUUUGUGUACAAUCUCAAGCAGAAAUCGGAGGCUUUUCCUAGGUUCAAGGAAUUCUGUGCUUGGUUGGAAAAUGUGCAUGGUAAGAAGAUAAAGACUCUUUUCAGUGAUCGCGGGGGAAUUCACUUCUCAGCAGUUUGAAGCUUUUCUGACUGAGAAAGGAAUUCAACACGAUUUGUCUAGUCCUCGCUCGCCAUGGCAGAAUGGACUUGCGGAGCGGGCAAAUCAGACAUUGCUUCAAGGGUUAAAAACCUUGCUGCAUGAUGCCAAUCUUCCAGAGAGUUAUUGGGCCGAAUCUCUCUCGUGUUUUGUUUACAGUUACAAUCGCAGGCUAUCUUCAGCGAUUGGUUGUACCCCCUAUGAGAAGAUGUUUGGCAAGAAGCCAUACAUCAAACACAUGAAGAUUUUUGGUUCUGACAUGUGGGUUCACUCACCACAAAACUCCAAGUUAGACAAGCGUGGAUUGCAUGGUAUCUUUCUAGGUUAUCAGAAAGGGUCUUACAGAAUAAUGAUGACUGACUCUAAGACAAUUAAGCUCACGAGAAGUGUUGAGUACAAUGCAAAGUGGGGGAGAAUGUGGGAAUUUUCCAAUGUUAUCCUGAUGACGGUGAUGAGACUGAGGAUAGUCAAAAGCAACCACAACAGCCCACACCCACUGAUGAAGGUUCUGAGUCUGAAUCUGAAACUGAAUCGGGUGAUUCAGAGGAUUUCAAGAGUGCGAAAGCCUCUAUGCGACCCUCUGAAAGCUCUGAUCAAGAAUUGGAGGAACCAUUGUUCACAAUAGGUCGUUUUUCUCCUAAGAAGGAAGAGGAGAGUGUUGAAGACUUAAGGCUAAUUCGUAGGUCACAGAGAGCCACAAAAGGCAACCCUCCAAAGAGAUUUGCUGAUGAGUUUGCUAAGAUAGCAGUAACAGCUGUUAAAAGCUCCAAGAAGGUAUUUGAACCUUCAAGUUUCCAAGAAAUCCAGGGUUUGGAUUCAAAGGAAGCUGAGCCAUGGUUAAAUGCCAUGAAGGCUGAGCUUGAUUCCUUAGAAAGGAACAAAACAUGGGAGCUAGUUCCAGUAGUUCCAGGAAUGAAACUGCUUGGAAGCAAAUGGGUCUUCAAAGCGAAGACAGAUCAAAAUGGCAAGAUAGUCAGACACAAAGCCAGAUUGGUAGCCAGAGGUUUUGCACAGGUACCAGGUGAAGACUAUCACGAGACCUAUUCACCCACAGUGAGAUAUGAAAGCAUUAGGCUUAUGCUCAAGCUAGCUGCAGAGGAAAAUCUACACAUUAGUCACCAUGAUAUUAAUACAGCUUUUCUGUACGGAUCUCUAGAUGAAUCACUUUAUAUGCUUCCACCUGAUGGCGUACAGGUAAAACAGGGAUUUGUUUGUGCUCUGAAGAAAUCCCUUUAUGGUCUCAAACAAAGUGCACGGUGUUGGCACACAAAACUCACUGAAGUAUUGUUUUCUCUAGGUUUUCAGCAAGGAAAGCUGAUCCAUGUGUAUUUGUCAAAGAGGAGGGGCAAAAGAAACUGUACUGUUUGUUUUAUGUUGAUGAUUUAUUAUUCUUUUGGAAAGAUGUUGCAAUGUACAAUAGCGCCUAGCUCAACUGAAAGAGCACUUUGACAUGAAAGAUCUUGGUGAGGUAAACAACUACCUAUCUCUGGAAAUAGAGAGAGAUCAAGAUGGUAACAUUCUAGUACACCAGUCACGGAAAAUUGCUGAUGUGUUAAGCAAACUAAAUCUGAUGGAUGCUAACCCUGUAGACACACCGAUGACAACAGGUUAUCAGGUAGAUGACACUGAAGAAGCAUUUUCUGACACUACACUGUACAGGAGUGUGCUAGGCAAGCUAAACUUCAUUGCCAGAUGUUCAAGACCAGACAUUGCUGUUAGCUGUAAUUUGCUAAGCAGACAAGUCAACAAUCCUAGUGUCAAGGAUUGGAAAGCUCUGAAACGCAUAGCGCGGUAUUUGAAAGGCACUAUGCAUUACAGACUGAGAUUUAACAAUCAGAAGUCUGGUGGUCUUGAGAUAUUUGCAGAUGCAAGUUUUGGAAGUGACACUACAGACAGGAAAAGUACGUCUGGAGUUUGCUACAUGUACAAUCAGAGUCUGUUUGAUUGGUCAUGCAAGAAGCAAACAACAGUUAGCUUAAGUACUUGUGAAGCUGAACUGAAUGCACUGUCUUAUUCACUUAAGGAUUGUGAAUGGUUAGUACAAUUGUGCAAAGAUAUGAAAAUUCCUGUCAAAUGUCCAAUCCAGGUUUACCAGGACAACAAAGCAUGUUUGGCUUUGCUGAAGUCUGAAGGUUGUAAGCAAAGCACAAAGCACUUGCAAUUAAAGUUGCAGCAUGCUAGGGAAUGUAUUCAGAAGGGACUCGUAACGGUGUCCUAUAUGCCAGGUAAUGAAAUUCCUGCUGAUGUAUUGUCCAAGAUUGUAUCGAGGGAUCAACACUGUACCUAUGUGCAGAAGUUGGGUUUGUACUGAUAUUGUACGAACACGCUGCCCAGUGAUGUUCACAGAAAGGGGGAGGAUGUUGGUUUCUGCUUUCCUUCACUGUGCAGCAACUGCAGUCACAAGACAGGUGUUUGCAUUCCACAGUCUGUACUGUUGGAGUUUCUCACGGGAAAGGGAGACUGGAUGUGACGUACACUGGUUUCCUGUUUUUCACUGUGUGAUUCUCUCCAAGCUGUCGAGGAGAGAGGAUGCAUUUUUCUGCUCUUGCAGAGGCAAGAUGUCUUUCUGUAAUAUACCAGCUUUGAACUGUAAAUAAAGCAAUAUAGAGUAUGUAACACAUUACUCAUCCUUCCGCUGGCCACGACAGACUCUGCUUAAAUCAACA
rnacentral:lncRNA from 1 species